rnacentral:lncRNA from 1 species
CGGUUUCAUGAAUCCCUGCAUCUUCAGGGAGAGGCACCCUUGCCAUGUGAUGACAAACUGACCACAUCACCUUUGUCCUCCCAAACCUCCAUUCUGACUUCUCUCAGCCCUCAGACUCAAACGGCCAUCUCACAGCACCAGGAGAGCUGUAGGGACCAUCUUGGGCCAGGUGCCAGCAGCCUAGACCCUGGGAGCCAGUGUAUCCUGGAGAAAUCCAGUAACCUGGUGUUGCAAGUCAGCUCCUUAAUCACAGGUAGUUACUGAAGUAACUGGAAGCAUGAACAUGCCCACCAGGACUCCCAGCUCCCAACGAUUCCUGAGCAUGAGCAGAUAGUCUCUGAAAGCAUUUCCACAGAUGUAUCCACAACUAUAGAUUAGAUUCUGGUCCUCUGAUAUUAGAAUAAAGUACUAAAAAUUGUACCGCCUUGAA